rnacentral:rRNA from 1 species
GAGUGCCCCGGGCGUUAUCCGGAUUUAUUGGGCGUAAAGCGUGUCCAGGUGGUUUGACAAGUCACAAGUCAAAUUUCAAGGCUCAACCUUGAAGCUGCUUGCGAAACUGUCAAACUCGAGACCGGGAGAGGUCAGUGGAAUGGCCGGUGUAGUAGUAAAAUGCGUUAAUAUCGGCUGGAACACCAAAGGCGAAGGCAACUGACUAGAACGGUUCUGACACUCACACACGAAAGCGUGGGUAGCGAAUGGGAUUAGAUACCCCAGUAGUCCACGCCGUAAACGAUGGAUGCUAAAUGUUGGCAGUAUCGACCCCUGCCAGUGUUGUUUACCUAAGGUAACCCCUUAAGCAUCCCGCUGUGGAGUACGGCCGCAAGGCUA